UACAGAGGUGGCAAGCGUUGUUCGGAAUUACUGGGCGUAAAGGGCGCGUAGGCGGCCAUCUAAGUCAGACGUGAAAUCCCCCGGCUUAACCUGGGAACUGCGUCUGAUACUGGAAGGCUUGAGUACGGGAGAGGGAUGUAGAAUUCCAGGUGUAGCGGUGAAAUGCGUAGAUAUCUGGAGGAAUACCGGUGGCGAAGGCGGCAUCCUGGACCAUUACUGACGCUGAGGCGCGAAAGCUAGGGGAGCGAACGGG
rnacentral:rRNA from 1 species